rnacentral:lncRNA from 1 species
ACAAAUAAGUGCUACACUCAUGAACUUAUCAUCCAUCAACUUUGUCUUGCUCACUAUGCUUAAGGUUAGAGAGGAACAAAUACACUUUUGGUUCUGUUGGUGUUUUCCACCAACAGGGCCCAUGCACUUGAUCUCUGCCUUGUCUCUAUGAGCAGUACACUUGGAGCAAAACAUGGUGGAGUUUUACAACUCUCAGAUUCCACCAAGUGAAGGACCUAGAUCUACGAGCACAAACACACUAAGCAGGAUGCUGCCAACGCCACACUUCGAACUGCUGGGCAAACGAAGAACAUGGGUGACACCGUAUCAAGAGGUGCAGACGUCAAGGUACACACCUGAAUCAAAUGACGCAACUAAAGAAUGAACACGGUGAGAAGUCUUGUUCAGAAGACUUAAAACAUUGAACCCUCACCGAAAGGUAAAAUCGGUAGUUAUCCAUAUUUAUUCUUUCUGCAUUCCCUUUUCCCUUAAAUUAUUUACUUUCCAUAAAUGGCUUGUUAGUUAAUCAUACUAUCUUGAAAAGAAAAUAAAAAGGUUAGAAAUAGUAAGCCUCAUGUGAGUAUACUUGUGGUUUAAAAACCCAUAGGUAUAUUGACUGUGGUGGCGUAAAAAUAAAAUAAAUAUAUUCCUGUCCUUUAAAAAUGAAAAUAUAAAAAUAAGAUUGUGAUCCCACUAAAGAGAAUAACAUUUAUUAGAGAAAGCUCAACAUGAUAACGGCUAAGAGAUUCUAUGCUAACACUUAACCAGUCAACAAAGCUUUGUUGUCUAUUUGAGCUCCAUAGAAUUCAAUGAUCAAAGAAGACUAGCUGGUGAAGGACAUAGUAAUCGCUGUCAGGGUGCUGCCGACAUUCAAAUACACCUCCGUCACAUGCUAGCUACAUCAGAAGAAAUUACAUCAAAAUCCAGCUUGGGGAGAGCAUCCCCAUUUAUCCAGCUAAGUGUUUCUACUCGCGUUUAUACAUUACUCAAGUAAUAAAAAGAUGCAUAAUCAUAAAAACCCAAAUAAAGAUUUUGUGCUUAUAUAUAUCUUUGCUUAGUUUGCUGAAUAAAUAAAUAAAUAAAGUUUGCUAUGAACCCUCAUUAUAAGCUCUCACAUGAAAAUGAUAAAUAGUUGCUCUGCCAUGACUACUUCUCGAAAUUGAAUUCUCUCUCAAGUUUAGGCAUGACUGUUAUGAAUUAAGAUUUUCUCUAAACUUGAACUUGUGGGAAGAGCACUUGAUCUAAAGUCUAAGUCAUUAACGGAUACGAUAUGGAAAGGUUGAGCUGCUGUUUAUCUGUUCCUAGAGAUGCUAGAAUUCUGGAGAAUUUUAUCUUUGAAAAUAUUUAAAAUGUUGCAUGAUGAGUUCCUGUAUGAUGAGAGUUUAAAAUCCUACCACAGCCACAUAUACAUGCUUAUUAGACUAUGAACCAUACAUUUACUUUUUACUACUUAUGAGCAUUGAGUGUGGUCAAGCUGUGUAGACCCUUAGGAGCUUGUCAUGCGGUUAAAAUCAAGAUUCACUUACACGUUCACUCAUACAUGCUGCUUCUACUCCGGAAGUACGCAUCCACAUACAUCUACUCCUUUCCAUCUCCAGAUUCACCUAAAAUUAUUCUACUCCUAUCAAGGAGAGAAUAGCCAAAAACAUUAUCCUAUUCCUGUUUUUCCCUGUGAAAUAAAUGCUCGAGAUAUUUUGGUUACUACCACUUGCUACAUUAUUCCAGGAGGGUGAGUGCUCUGAAAAAAAGAGUGAAUACGAGGAAAUAAAAAGGGGCAAGUGCCCGGAACCUCAAAAGAAAAGAAAAAGUGAGACGAGAGGUAAAAAUGGACAAGUGUCCGACAGUAGAAUUAGGGGUACAAGAUACCCACCUGAGAGAAAAGAAAAAGAAAAUAUAGAGCAUCUCAUUCCUCUCAAAAACCUUCAAAGUGCAAGAAAGGUAUGUAUCCCCUCAAAAGAGCAAAAGUAGAAUUAGACUUUCACCAUUAUUUUCAUCAUUAUCACCAUCAUCACCAUACACCAUUCAUCUGCCACACAUGCACAUCUUGAUUUGAUUUAUUGACUUGUUUCUCUAGAUCCAUGGUUUGACUAUGCAAUAAAUGUCUUGUAAGUAUGUAUUAGCUGUCUCCCACCUAUGAGCUCCAGAUAUCAAAACCUUGUUAGAGUAGGGUGAGAGAGAAGGAAAUAUCAUUAUGCCUCAUACCACAAAUACCACAUACUUUGAGAGAAGGCAUAUAUCAUACUGCCUUGGUAAGGAUCCAGAAAUACCACAAAAGAGAGACUAGAGAGAGUCAUACAAGGAAUCUCUGAGUUUUAUUUGAAAAUCUGCAAAAACUCCAGAGCUAUAGUUGAUCAAAGAACAAGAGACAUGGUGCUUGACUUGACCGUUCUAUCUUUUAACUGCUCAAGACACAAGUGAUGGUUGCAAGCCCCAUGGUGGAAUGUAAUAUGAGUAAGUUUAAAUCUUAACAGUUUACCUUAACC